AAUGUAACUGUAUUAUGAAAUCAAAUUUGACGAAUUACAAUUGGCUAGUAAAAUGAGAUGUCUAAAGUCAAUGUCCAAGAAAACAGCGAGUCUAAAUGUUGUAACUCGAAAAACUCAAGACAGUACUAAUCUUAGGUACAUUAUUUAACGAUUUUUAAAACAGUUUCUGAGAAUUGUUUUAGUGACAUUUUUGAAUGAAUGAAUACAAUGCAAUUGUAGAAAAGGCUCUAGCUUCAAUAAAAAUAUCUGUGCUUUGUCCAAGGGGUUUGACUUGUUCCUCUAUAGAUAUGGUAUGAAAGAAUAGCACAACUUUAUCAAUGCUUAAUGAACUUAAAUUUAUCAGUACAAAUACACGUCGUGCCUUUCUUCUAUGUCGAAGAAAAACAAGGAAUCAAGAAAUGAACGAAUUUCGUUAACUUUGCCCUACUGUUUUGUUUUACCGUGCUAAUUAUUACUUCAAUAUUGAUCUUUAUA